UUACUGGUGGCUCAGCCGGGAAAGCAUCUGUCUACAAUGCAGGAGACCCAGGUUCAAUCUCUGGGUCAGGAAG
rnacentral:tRNA from 1 species